rnacentral:rRNA from 1 species
GUCUACGGCCAUACGACCCUGAAUGUGCCCAAUCUCGUCUGAUCUCGGAAGCUAAGCAGUCGGGCCUGGUUAGUACUUGGAUGGAAGACCACCUGGGAAUACCAAGUGCUGUAGGCU